GAAGUUGUAAAUGAGUCAGCAAUUGAGUCUCAGAGCUGGAUGGCUAGAGGAGAAGGAAUUAUGUUGUUUUAUUUUUUUUAUUUGACCAGUGUAAGUUUUUGUAAAUAAGGAAGAUGUUUUGUUCUAGGCUCUGGCCAGGACUAGGGCUGGGCAAUAUAUCAAUAUAUCGUCCAAACCCAGUUUGUAUAGCAUGAGUCAUGGUUUGUGUGUGUGUGUGUGUGCGCGCUAUGCACAAAUCAAAAUGUGGGGGAAACCGUACAGCGUGUCAGUGAUUCUGGUUUCCCCCCGCAGAAAUUUUUAUUAGAGUAUUCACAAUACAAUAUAUCCAGAUUCCUGUUAACUCUGCUGGCUCAGCUACCCUCUGCCUCUUAUGGAGGGCAGCGAAUCACAAGAGCAGGCACAGGCAAAAAUCACAAUGCAGGAAAAAUCAUGAGAACAAGAAGCUGGACUAGAUGAGCCAUGGGCCUGCUCUUGCAGAGCUCCCUCUGCCUUAGCCUCUCUGGAUGUUGAUGAUUUCCUUGCUGGUAUCUUAGGGUUGUGCCCCACGAUAGUAAUACUCUGAAUCACUGAAAUCGAGGGACCUGACUAAUGCAGGUCCAUUAAUUUUGGCAGGUCCACUUGGAGUAUAACUUUAAAUGGGCAACAACCCAUAGGCAACUUUUUGUGUUGAAUUUCCUUUGGCAUCAGUUUGCACAGCAGGACAUACCGCUUCCUUUCCUCACCUAGCCUUGGCAUAAUCUUAAUAUAUUCCAUUCACGGACGAGCAGGAAAUAAGUUAGAACCUGCAAAUACCUGGGGCGCACAGCAACCCACACACGCCUAAGCUGACUUCAUUGCCUGCAAGUCUUUGGGUUCACCCCAAUUGUAUCCUCAAUUCCUCUCUCACUAUCACAUGUCACAGGAGGACUGUGACACAUGUCUGCCCAGGAUGCUCCGAGAUAGGAGCGAACAGUGAUCGGCAACAGAUGCUUUUGGUUUCGUUCUGAUUUUCCACGAUAAGACUAAAUCCGGAUAACAGGCGGAAUAUAGGCUGGGUGCUGUGAAAAACAGGUGCAUAUGAGC